rnacentral:rRNA from 1 species
UACGUAGGGUGCAAGCGUUGUCCGGAAUUAUUGGGCGUAAAGAGCUCGUAGGCGGUCUGUCGCGUCGAUCGUGAAAACUUGGGGCUUAACCCUGAGCUUGCGGUCGAUACGGGCAUGACUGGAGUUCGGCAGGGGAGACUGGAAUUCCUGGUGUAGCGGUGAAAUGCGCAGAUAUCAGGAGGAACACCGACGGCGAAGGCAGCACUCUGGGCCGGUACUGACGCUGAGGAGCGAAAGCAUGGGGAGCGAACAGG